UAGCCCGGCGAAAGCCGGAUUAAUACCGCAUACGACCUACGGGUGAAAGGGGGGGAUCGCAAGACCUCUCGCUAUUGGAGCGGCCGAUGUCAGAUUAGGUAGUUGGUGGGGUAAAAGCCUACCAAGCCGACGAUCUGUAGCUGGUCUGAGAGGACGACCAGCCACACUGGGACUGAGACACGGCCCAGACUCCUACGGGAGGCAGCAGUGGGGAAUUUUGGACAAUGGGCGCAAGCCUGAUCCAGCCAUGCCGCGUGCGGGAAGAAGGCCUUCGGGUUGUAAACCGCUUUUGUCAGGGAAGAAACGGUCUGGGUUAAUACCCUGGGCUAAUGACGGUACCUGAAGAAUAAGCACCGGCUAACUACGUGCCAGCAGCCGCGGUAAUACGUAGGGUGCAAGCGUUAAUCGGAAUUACUGGGCGUAAAGCGUGCGCAGGCGGCCAUGCAAGACAGAUGUGAAAUCCCCGGGCUCAACCUGGGAACUGCAUUUGUGACUGCAUGGCUAGAGUACGGCAGAGGGGGAUGGAAUUCCGCGUGUAGCAGUGAAAUGCGUAGAUAUGCGGAGGAACACCGAUGGCGAAGGCGAUCCCCUGGGCCUGUACUGACGCUCAUGCGCGAAAGCGUGGGGAGCAAACGGGAUUAGAUACCCU
rnacentral:rRNA from 1 species